AUUGAACGCUGGCGGCAGGCUUAACACAUGCAAGUCGGACGGUAACAGGAGGAAAGCUUGCUUUCUUUGCUGACGAGUGGCGGACGGGUGAGUAAUGCUUGGGAAUCUGUUUUAUGGAGGGGGAUAACUACGGGAAACUGUAGCUAAUACCGCGUAAUAUCGAGAGAUUAAAGUGUGGGACCGUAAGGCCACAUGCCAUAGAGUGAGCCCAAGUGGGAUUAGGUAGUUGGUGGGGUAAAGGCCUACCAAGCCGUCGAUCUCUAGCUGGUCUGAGAGGAUGACCAGCCACACUGGGACUGAGACACGGCCCAGACUCCUACGGGAGGCAGCAGUGGGGAAUAUUGCACAAUGGGCGCAAGCCUGAUGCAGCCAUGCCGCGUGAAUGAAGAAGGCCUUCGGGUUGUAAAGUUCUUUCGGUGGUGAGGAAGGUUGUAAUGUUAAUAGCAUUAUAAUUUGACGUUAGCCACAGAAGAAGCACCGGCUAACUCCGUGCCAGCAGCCGCGGUAAUACGGAGGGUGCGAGCGUUAAUCGGAAUAACUGGGCGUAAAGGGCACGCAGGCGGAUACUUAAGUGAGGUGUGAAAGCCCUGGGCUUAACCUAGGAAUUGCAUUUCAUACUGGGUAUCUAGAGUAUUUUAGGGAGGGGUAGAAUUCCACGUGUAGCGGUGAAAUGCGUAGAGAUGUGGAGGAAUACCGAAGGCGAAGGCAGCCCCUUGGGGGAAUACUGACGCUCAUGUGCGAAAGCGUGGGGGAGCAAACAGG
rnacentral:rRNA from 1 species